GUUUCGAUAGUGUAGUGGUUAUCACGUCGGCCUAACAAGCUGAAGGACCUCAGUUCGAUCCUGGGUGGAAACA
rnacentral:tRNA from 1 species